rnacentral:tRNA from 1 species
UAGGGCAAUAGCUCCAACGGUAGAGCGCCGGAUUCCAAAUCCGAUGGUUGGGGGUUCGAAUCCCUCUUGCCCUGCCAU